GAAUUGAUGGUGAUUCCAAAUCAGUCAUUCCUUGGAAAGCUGAACAAAGUAAAUAAAAAUGCCCCACUAUCGCUCUGGUCAUGACUGAGGUUC